CACAAAGCUGAGUCAUCAAUCUGGGGCAUGAAGUAACACUUUGAAGCCUAGUGAAUUCAGUUGACAGUUAAAGAAGAAAAAGAAACAUCUCUUGUUACUAGAGAAGCCAAGAGAGUUAGUGACUUCACAGAUGAAACCACCAAUCAGGGCCAUGAAGAAUAGAGCUAAUUCUCAUCUGGGGUUUCAUAGCUACCAAUACCCAUUUGGAGCCUGAUUCACCAUGAGCUGCAGGCUUCUCCUCUAUGUUUCCCUAUGUCUUGUGGAAAUAGCACCCAUGAACACUAAAAUUACUCAGACACCAAGAUAUCUAGUCAUGGGAAGAGCAAAUAAGACUUUGGAAUGUGAACAAGAUCUGGGACAUAAUGCUAUGUACUGGUACAAGCAGAGCACUAAGAAGCCCCCAGAGCUCAUGUUUUCCUACAGUGUUAAACAAUUGGUUCACAACGAGACCGUGCCCAGUCAUUUCUUACCUGAAUGCCCAGACAGCUCCAAGCUGCUACUACACGUAUCUUCCCUGAAGCCAGAAGACUCAGCUGUAUAUUUCUGUGCCAGCAG